UAUGGCAUGUUCGCGAGGCUUGUAAGACUCUCAAUCCGUUGAUUGAGACUGAAGCUGAAUGGCCCUCAUCCGCGUCACCCUUCUCUUUCGCGUGAAGCUUAGGUCAUUCGGAGAGCUUGUUCAGUCGGGUGUUGUCUUUUUUUCUUUCAGAUAUCUGGCUUGCGAGGCUCCACUUUCGGGUGUUGAAGUCGCAGAGUCAAUCGCGAGAUUAUGCUGCUGAAUCUGUGAGAUUAUUGAUAAGAUUUCGAGAUUUUUGGGAGUGGCUUUGUCGGCGGCAUUGAUGUUUUCUGGAGCAAGACGUUGCGGAAGACGUUGAGGUCGGAGAAGAGGACGUGGAGUAGUAUGUAUGAAGUGAAUGGUGUGAGUGUGUGGUUUAGAAGUGUUGGAGUUGAGAACUUAGAGUAGAUUGUGUGGACGGGAGUUUGUUUUUCUGCGAAGGGUGCGAGUUGGUAUUGAUGUGGGGUGUCUCAAUUUGAAUCGGAUUGUAGUUGCGGCUCACUGAGCGCAUGUUGUGCUCAGUGUGGUUCUAUGACGGAGGCUUGUUGCGUCGGAGUUCGUUGGGCGUGAAGCUUGGUGGAGAAGAGUUGGUGUGAGAGAUUGGAUAAGAAUGAGGGGUUCCGGGGGUGCCUCGAGGCCUCAGAGGCAAGCAAGGGCUGGGGUGACUUACAAGGAGAGCGAUGAUGAUGACGACGAAUUCAUUCCCAAUGCCAAGUUAUCCUCCGACGUUGUUGGCAGGAGGAGUCUCAGAAGUUGCGCACUCGAGGUUGAAGAUUCAAUGAUCACUAAAGGGCGGAGGACUUUAGCCCUGAAAAGGCCAAGGAUUAUUGAACCUCCUGUGAUCACGGAAAAGGAGAAUAUCAAUGCAGAUGAGAUAGCUGAAGCUCCUCACGAGGCGGAGCCAGCGCUAUCUCAUGAUUAUCGACACCAGUUCCUCCAGGGCCUUGAAUUCUGCCGGAUUUCUGCGAAUGUGCCUGGUUCACAGAGAGAAAACAGUGCAUUUGAUUAUCUAUUGGAAGCCGUCAGUGGGGCAAGUGGUGAUGCCUAUGAAGAGGGUGCUUCGACAGGUCAACAGUGCUUUGCGACGAAAUCAAGCAAUCAAGAUGAAAGCAGAGCAAAGCAGGAGGUGACUACAUCAACUACCUAUGCUCCUGAACUUCUUGAAGCAUAUUCUGUUUUUGAGCGUACGUUGAAUGCUGUAAAAGGAGUGAUGGAAGAGGACACAAAAGCAACCGUCACAUUGACGAGUCCGACACAUUCUUCUCAUGAGGGAGGUAGGCUAGCCAGUUCAAGUGCAGGCGAAGUUUUGAAGAAUGUAGUCGAACUUGAGAGGAACAGGGAAGUUGAACAAGAUGCUAUAUCUUCUGCAAAUGAGAAGACAGGCCCUAAAAAGGGUUUGGAAGACAAGGAGGUUAACAUGUCUUCUGCUAAUGAGAAGACAAACAGGAAGAGGGUCAAGAGAGACAAUCAGGACAAUAUUCUCUAUUCAGACGAGAAGAAAGACACCAAGAAGAUCGAGGACGACAAACAGUGUAAUGUGUCUUCCGCAGAGGAGGAGGAAGAUGGAGAUUCUGAGGCUUCCUGGAAUGAAAGUUCUGACGCUUCAGAUUCUGAUAAAAAGAACUCCGCAAUAGGGAAGAAUGAUACUCUUCCUUCAUUCGAGAAAUCAAGUCCAAAACUAAAGACCUUUUCACGUACUUGGGAAGAGGUAUCUACACGAAAACAGAGGCCUGAAGUGUCAACUGGAGCAGUUUUCGUAGAUGCGUCAAUGUCUGGGAACAUCAUAUUAUCAUGGUUUUAAAUCCUUUUCGUCCCACGCUUACUGCAGGUGCCCCACCGUUGAUUCCUAAAAAGAGGCCUCCUAUUUUUGCCGGCAAUAAACCUUUUGUCUCUCCAGUUCCUGUACCUCUGAGUCUACCGUCACCAACUGUGGCUCAUAGACGAGUUGUGGGGCUCUCUCGGCGUCACAGACCUCCACCAUUGCACCCUUAUCUGCUGGGAACAUAGGCUCCAAAGCUGCCAAUGUCGCAAAUAUUGAGGCAGGUUUUGUCUUCAUUUUCUGCUUGACCACAGAUAAUUUAGGGAUGGUGUUCAAGCCGUAUACAUGCGGGUAGGUAGAGUAAUAGUGUGACCUAUAGACAGUUGAUCAUGUACAUGGGUUAUACUCGAUUGUCCUUCUGCCGUGCGUCGGAUCCCUAACCGAACUACUAAUGUUUUGCGGUUGGAGUGUUUAGGAAGUACAUUGAGGAUGGGUCAUGAAGGCAACUUCUUCAUGUGCCAAUUUUUUGAAAUGUGGAAAGGUCUUUAAGAGGACCAAUCCUGUAAAAUAUGUAGCAAUUUAUGAGAACACUGCACCGGUUCGCUUGUCAA